AGCUCCUAGCUGAGUCAGGGGACAUAAAAGCCCACCGCCGCCUGGGUCACCACCAAAGGCAUGCCACCGAAGGGGGUUGCCACUUGGGGAUUCCCUUAGGAAGUCUCAAGGCAUUUGAAUUCCUGCAAGGAGGGAGAUCCUCCAAGGAGUUUAUGAAACGGUGAUUGGAAGCAAACAACCGAUGUUCCAGACAAGUUAAACUAUGACAUUAUAGAUAAAAAGGGACCCUAAGAAGAGAGAAAGAGAAAGAGAGAGAGAGCAGGAGCCUGGAAAUUGCCCAUUAACAGUUAGUACCUGGACAACAAGACUGAGCAGACACACAGGAGAAGUGAAUUACAUCGUGGUUAUAGUUGCAUCCACUAUGGUCUUAAAAUUUGGAUAGUCUCCAGCCCAAAGAGUUCACAGCUGUUUGGUGAGGGGAGGAGGUAUUGUCCGUUUGACUGACUGUUAUCUUGCUGGAA